GGCAAAGUGGCCGAGUGGUUAUGGCGACGGAUUCAAGAGGCAUUCAAUAUGUUCUUGAGAUUGUUUUCAGCAGUUUCCCGUUCACGAAAGUGGCAGGGGUUCGAAUCCCCUCUUUGUCA